rnacentral:rRNA from 1 species
GACAGAGGGUGCAAACGUUGUUCGGAAUCACUGGGCGUAAAGCGUGUGUAGGCGGUCUUAUAAGUCGGAUGUGAAAGCCCCGGGCUCAACCCGGGAAGUGCACCCGAUACUGUAGGACUUGAGUACUGGAGAGGUUGGUGGAAUUCUCGGUGUAGAGGUGAAAUUCGUAGAUAUCGGGAGGAACACCAGUGGCGAAGGCGGUUGCCUGGGGCUUUGCUGACGCUGAUGCGCGAAAGCGUGGGGAGCGAUCCGG